GAAUUGACGGGGGCCCGCACAAGCGGUGGAGCAUGUGGUUUAAUUCGAUGCAACGCGAAGAACCUUACCUGGUCUUGACAUCCACGGAAGUUUUCAGAGAUGAGAAUGUGCCUUCGGGAACCGUGAGACAGGUGCUGCAUGGCUGUCGUCAGCUCGUGUUGUGAAAUGUUGGGUUAAGUCCCGCAACGAGCGCAACCCUUAUCCUUUGUUGCCAGCGGUCCGGCCGGGAACUCAAAGGAGACUGCCAGUGAUAAACUGGAGGAAGGUGGGGAUGACGUCAAGUCAUCAUGGCCCUUACGACCAGGGCUACACACGUGCUACAAUGGCGCAUACAAAGAGAAGCGACCUCGCGAGAGCAAGCGGACCUCAUAAAGUGCGUCGUAGUCCGGAUUGGAGUCUGCAACUCGACUCCAUGAAGUCGGAAUCGCUAGUAAUCGUGGAUCAGAAUGCCACGGU
rnacentral:rRNA from 1 species